CCUCUCGCCCCCAUAGGUGUUGGCGGCGGCGGUGACGCGCCCGCGCUCGUGGCCGCGCGUAGCCCCCCCCCGCCACCUCUCCCCGGCUGCGCUGGUGGCGGUAGCGGCGGCUCGGCCAUGGCGGACCUGAGCGCGGAGCGGCUGUGCUCGCUGCCCGGCAACUGGAGCUACGGGAUCAGCCAGGGCGGCCGCCUCUUCUUCAUCAACGAGGAGGCGAAGAGCACGACCUGGCUGCACCCGCACACCGGAGAGGCCGUGAUCACCGGGCACCGCCGCAGCGCAGACUUACCCACAGGUUGGGAAGAAGCAUAUACUUUUGAAGGUGCAAGAUACUACAUAAAUCAUAAUGAACGGAAAGUGACCUGCAAGCAUCCGGUAACAGGACAGCCAUCGCAGGAUAACUGUAUUUUUGUUGUGAAUGAACAGACAGCUGCAACUAUGGCAUCUGAAGAAAAGAAAGAACGAACAGUAAGCACAAUAAGUGACGCUUCCAACUAUAAUUUGACAUCAGAUUAUGCUGUGCAUCCAGUGAGCCCUGUGGGCAGAACGUCACGCUCUUCAAAGAAGGUUCAUAAUUUUGGAAAGAGAUCAAACUCAAUAAAGAGGAAUCCUAACGCACCAGUCAUCAGACGGGGGUGGCUUUACAAGCAGGAUAGUACUGGUAUGAAGCUGUGGAAGAAACGAUGGUUUGUGCUUUCUGAUCUGUGUCUCUUCUAUUACAGAGAUGAAAAAGAAGAGGGAAUAUUGGGGAGCAUACUUCUACCUAGUUUUCAGAUAUUGAUGCUUUCUUCUGAGGAUCAUAUUAAUCGCAAAUACGCUUUUAAGGCAGCUCAUCCAAACAUGAGGACCUAUUAUUUCUGCACAGAUACAGGGAAGGAAAUGGAGUUAUGGAUGAAAGCCAUGAUAGAUGCAGCACUUGUACAGACAGAACCUGUGAAAAGAGUAGAGAAGAUAACUGAAAACACACCAUCUCGAGAAGUGAAUAACAUUUCCAACCACAGAGUGUUAAUUAAACCAGAGGCACAGAAUAAUCAAAAAAACAAAGAAGUAAGCAAAAAUGAAGAGAAGUCGUCUUUGGAAGCUGAAAAAUAUGGAUUUCAGAAAGUUGGACAAGAUAAACCCUUAACUAAAAUUAAUAGUGUAAAGCUAAAUUCAGAAUACAGAACCUUACCAGUGAGCGCACUUCAGGCUGGAAACUACAGACCAGUUCAUUUAAAUGGGUCUGAGAAUAAAGCUGUCAAUAUUGUGGCGGAAACUGGAGAUGGAGGACAGCACAAUACAGUUCACGCACAUAUGGAGUCUGAACGAGUCAUACAGAGAACUAAUUCAAUGCUUCAGUUGGAGCAGUGGAUUAGAAUUCAGAGAGGAAAGGGGCAAGAUGACGAAACAAGAGGGUAAGCAAUUUGAUUAUUUUUUUUAAUUUAGAUUUUCUGUCAAAAUAUCUUGGUCAGAUUCUUUUUCAGGUGUGUAAUUGACUCAAUAUUACAUUCCCAUAAAGUCCAAUUUUUGCCUGAAAGAGGUUGUCAUGCAUUAUUGUGCACACUGGUUAUCUAGAUACACAAUCUAAGUAGAUAGUAAGAGACGGUCUCAAACAGUCACUUAGCCUCAGUAAAAGUUUUUGUAUUUAAAUGGGCACUGCCAGCUAGUUUUUAUGCACAAAAUUUAGGUUGGGGAAGAAUAUAUGAAAUGAGGUAAGAUAUGUGGGGGGGGAGGAGGAGGAGUUUGGGGGUUUUUUUAAUUUUGUUUUUACAAUUGGCGUUGCUGGUGACUUUAACAUUCCUUGGUAGUAUUGUGUGCUUAAAUAUCUAUUAAUGCAUAAAAACAAAUUGAAAGCAUUUGGAAACAAUUACAUCUUUUUGGGGGGCCGGGGGGGGUUAAAAUUGAAUGAAAUUCAAAGAGUAAACAGCCCCCAUAAAUGAUGAAGAGUAAAUUAGGAAUUAAAACAAAAUGUUUGCUAAAUUCAAUCUUUGACUUCAAGGAAUACUUAAAAAAGUGAGACCAGGAAAUAAGACAGAUGUAAACUCCAAAAAUAUGCAUAUUAAACACAAACAAAAAUAUUGCAUAUUCCUGUUAAAACUUUGGCAUGGGGUGUGUGUGCUUAAGAAGGAAAUGUACAGAUAAGUAGAUUCUUGUAUUGUCAGUUUAGGUGAUUACUGUGAAAUGCACGGAUUAUUGGAAAUGUGAUUUGCCUUCUCCUCUGCCCUUCCUUUCCACUCCCCUCUCCCAUUGGUGGGGGUUCUGACAUCAGAGGGAAAUCAUCCCUCUUUCUCCCCUGUCUUGUCUCUGUGUUCUUCCCUCAGCUGCAAUCAUGGUAGGAUCAGUUCAUUGGUGAGUAGUGGAUUUGAACGGAGGUGGUAGGUAAUUUAUGUGGUUAAACAAGAGGGGAAGCACUGACAAAAUGCAUACACCAUAUGAGGAAUUAGAAUAUUGAAAGUAGCAUUAAGUAUCUGAGUUGCAUAUUAAAGCUGGUCAAAAACCCCUCUAAGUGAACUUAGCCUCUAUUACAGUGCAAAGUUUUCCCUAAUGAACCAUCAAUAUGCCUCAACUGUGACUGGAGGGAAGUGAGAAGUUAGUCUUGGACUAUUACAAUGCAAACUUCAGAUGUAGUACACCUGGGGGAAUUCUGUACUUGUGAGCUGUGCUCUGUGGGGUCCAGUGGCCCCUAGUGGCGGCCAGCAGCUCUGCAGCCCAUUUCUGUGGAGGAAAAGGAAAUUCUGUGUAAAAAACUAAGUCCUGUGCAAAUUCUGCAUGCACCGAGGUGCAGAAUUCCCCCAGGAGUAAUGUAGUUAAGAAUUUUCCAUUCCAGCACAGAGAGUGGUGAUUCUUUAAAACACUUGUUUUUAACCACUCCAUGAAGAAAAGUCCCUGUUCGUGAAAUUGCCUGAGCACUGUUUUUAAAAAGAUUUUAUACUAUUUUUUUAAAAAAAUAAGUUAAAAAGAAAAGUAUAUCCUAAAUUUUAUCAUUUGGAGUUUGUCAUGCAAAUUCAUCUAAAUUCAUGUUAAUCGCUUUCUUUUCUACAUAUAACCAUGCUUAUGGCAUAGCACCUCCAAAGUCUAACGAUGCAUUCCAGUGAUUAAUCAGAGAACUUUAAAGUACCUCUGUGAAUCAUUGACAGUAUUAAAUCUUGCCGUGUUAGCAAUUGUUCUGCAUGACAGAAGCAUAGGGACGUCACUUCCAGGAUGUCUAACAGGCAACUGCAUUGUAUGGCACCCUAAACAUGAGUUUAGAAUAUUUAUUUCUCAAACUUCUAUUAAAAUUUUUUGCUUUCAAUUAAACUUUUAUGGGAAUGUCACUGCAGGAGGAAUUUGGAGAGUGGGAAAUUAUGCCCUUCACAUUGUAGGGAGUACAGAGUAAGGAGGAGGUAGGUUGACCUGAAUAAUCUUUGCUGGAAUGUUCCUAAGAUCUGUUCCUUGCAAAGCUGUGAAAGUUUACCUUACUCUAACUCAAUUGCUAUAGCUCUAGAACAGCCCCAUCAUUAAAUAUAAUUGGUAUCUGAAGGUCAGAUAGUAUUCCUGAUAUAUUUGUGUUGCCAGUUGAUCAAUUUUAAUUUGUACUACAUGGAGUGACUAUUAAACCUUGACAUUUAUCAUGUUGUGUGUGCUUGGGCAAUGAGAACUUAACACAGUUUUGUGAUGUAAUUAGAUUUUUUAAAUUAGAAUUAAAAAAUUGUGUAACUUGCAUCCAGAUAGUGAUAGUUGAAUAGAUGUUGUUUUUCAAUUAUGAACAAGGAUAAAACCUUUUGGAUUUCUCUUAUCAUUGCUCCAGUGCAGUUUUAUGUUGGCUGUAUUCCAAAACACACUGAUUCCAUUGUGGAAGAUGUAUAGUGGAAAACAUAAACAAAACAUUAACUGGCAGAACAGAAUCUCCUUGAGCAUAGAGAUCAUUUCUUAUUUAAAUGUGGAUGAAAUUGGUAGCACAAAUAAUAUACUUAAAAAUGAAGCUUGAUGUAAAGCUGAUCAGCAAAGUGGAAUUAAAAUUGGGCUUGUGCCCUUCUUUGAUUUUUUGGGAUACAUAAAGGUGGCCUGAAGGUUUUUUUUGUUGUUGCUGUUUUGAGAAAAGGGUUUAUAGUGCUCCUUUUUUACACUAGAAAUUCAGGUUUUGUCUAGACUAGAAAAUUUCUGAUUUGGAGAACUAGUGAAAAGGUGACAUCACAAGAGAAUGAAAGAUGAGCUAUUGAGAGGGGAAAGGAAGUUUUAAUGUUAAAACUGUUUUGUUUUGUUUUUCAGUAAGGUUGGGUUUUUGUUGGUUUUUAAUAAGACCUAUUUAACUUCCAUGACUAACAUUUUGGAGAAGGGCAGCCUUUGUUUAAAGACUCAGCAUCCUCAACCCUUUUACUGAGGUUCUUUUAAAAAAGCAUCCAUGAGACCUCUCACAGUUUUCCAGCUAAAGCAGGGAAGACCAAACUUGAUAUUACUGUACUAACAUUUCUAAGGUUAAAAAAAAAAAAGUCUUAAGGCUUUAUAUAUAUCAGAGCCAAAGGCACAAGCCCAAUUUAUGUUAAAAAAAACCCAAAAAACAAACCCUUACAGACCGCCUCUAUAAACUGCCUUACAGAUAAAAUUUAGAAUUUCAGGGUUCUGGGGUGUUUGUAACAUUUGUUAGUUUUGAUAGUAGGUAAAAAGUUGCUUAUCAUAAUAGUAAGCAUCUGAAGAAUUACUUUUUAGGAAUACUUUUAAAGAGUAGGGUGACCAGAUGCCCUGAUUUUAUAGGGACAGUCCUGAUUUUUAGGUCUUUUUCUUAUACAGGCUCCUAUUACCUCCCACCCCCCGUCCCGAUUUUUUAUACUUGCUGUCUGGUCGCCCUAUUAAAGAGGAACGGAUACUCCACCAUUUUAGUUCUAAAUAGCCCAAAGCACUUCAAGGGCAGAAAUAAUAGCACAACUAUUAAACCCUGAAAUUCUGUAUUCCCUCCGCCUUCCCUCCCCCUCCCAGCUGUCCUUUCUGCAUUCAUAGUACGUUCAAACUAAAAUCAGUAGAUUGGGAGAGAUCAGUAAAUUUUCCAUAGGACAGUUUGUGCAAGCCAGUGGAUGUCCCACAAAAUAGCUCAUGUACACAAUUUUUUUUGUAAAAACAUAAAUUUCUCCAAAGAAUAUAUAAUAAAGGAUGUCUAGACAUUAAAGAAUAAGUUGGAAGGGGUACUGCAUCUGAUCUUGAUUCCCCUUGCUGGUUUUGUUUUUCUCACUUGCUGUGUGAGAGAUUUACACAAAGAGGGGACUGUGACUAUUCAAGGCAACCAGGAAGAUUUUUGAACAGCAAAAGUUUUGUCAAAUAAUCAUCUGAAAACUGAAGUUGUCCAGUCUUUACAUUAACUGUAGGUGUUAAAAGUAACAGUAGUAGGUAAACAUUUUCAACAAAAUAGUGAUUCAGCUAACUGUUCUUACCACGUCCGGCUCUAGGUUUUUUGCUGCCCCAAGCUCCGAGAGCACAACUGCCCAAGCAAAAAAAAAAUAAAAUAAAAUAAAAAUUAUGGCCGGAAUGCCGCCCCUGGAAUUGUGCCGCCCCAAGAACGUGCUUGAUUUGCUGGUGCCUAGAGCCAGUCCUGGUUCUUAGUUGUCAGAAAUGUGUGUGCCAAAUAUCUGCAUAUUUGUAGUCUUUGUUACAGAGUACACUCUGAGCAUAUUUCUUAACCAAAAGAUUGGUCCCAUACAUAGUUUUGGAUUCCUCUACCCUAUAUUUUGAAGAGAUCACUUAACUCUCCUCCAUUUAGCCAUUUUCCUCUAUACUCUCACAUGAGGCAGUCUAAGGAAACCAUUAACUGUACUCUUUAUGAUUGAGGGGCAUUUUUAGCCUUGAGCUUGUAAGGUGGUGCUUUUUGUACCUAUAGGUCUGAGAGCACUCUGUAUGUCACAGGAUUGAGCACGUAGAAAGCAUAUCAGCAAGCUCUCUCCCCAUUUAGAGUAAAUGAGUUAACUUCCAGACUGGAACAAAUCUUAGAUCCCAGCAAUAAUGACAUGCAAUGGAGACAUUCCCAAAGUUUUAAAGAGUUUUUUUUAUCUUGCAGAAGUUUUUCUAUAAAUUGAAGAUUUUGUGGGUCAUUUAUAAUGCCAGCCAUAGAACUGUUACUGCAGCUCAGCAGCUUACAUGAUGGAUUACUUAACUGCACUUGUCUCGCUGCUGCCCAUGAGGCAUCUUGCUUUGAGUAGAGGUUUUGUGUGUGAUUUAGGAUUUGGUUAGGUCAGUCUUGCUGGUAUCCUCAUAACACUGACAGCCCAGCUUUGGGUUUAAUCACUGGAUUGAAAGCCAGGGCUUCAUUUAAGGAUUUUUUUUCUAGUGCUAAUAAUUAGUAAGAAGUGGUGGGUGUUUAAAUCUUCUGAAAUUCCAGAACUUAAGAACAAAUAGUGGGUGUAGACAUUUUUAAAUUACAAUUUUUCAUACGUUAAAAUACAAAAAAAAAAAAUUUCCCCAAAUUAGACUGGGUUUUCAAAGACGUUUAAAGGAGCCAAGUGCCCAACUCCCACUGAAUGAGAGUUGAAAUUCAAUGGGAGAUGGAACACCUAGCUCCCUGGGAUUCCUUUGGAUAAUCUUAACUUUUAAAAUCCUAAACAUUACAAAUAGUUAAAAAUUAAUUUGACAAAUCCACUGGAAAGUAUAGGUAAGGGGCAUUUGGAUGUGUUGUAUUGAAAUACAAAAAAAAGAAACUUUGAGUGCUUGUUCAUGUCCAUUGCACGCUAGGUGUGUGCACGUCAUGUGCAGAGAUGCGGGAGAUGUUUUUCCCUUAGUGGUAUCCGUAGGACUUGGCCCUAGCACCCUCUGGAGCCCACACACGUGCUCUGGGAUGAGGGGCGCUGCCGGCUCUGCACCCUCUUAAUUCCUUCUUACCACCUGUGACGGUUACUUGGAACCACCUCCUUGUUCUCUUAGAAGGCUUUCUCAAUGGUUUGGACUCUGUAGUCUAUUGUAUAUAGUUUUUGCAGUUAAUAUAUUUAGUUAUCAAUCAGUAUUAGUCUAUAGAGUGUAAAUAGUGGUCCCAGUCAUCGGGGGACAUCGUCCCAGGGACUGGGGAGGCCCCCAUCCCCAGGCUUCAAGCCGGGUACCUCCUGCGGCAAGCCCGUGCCAGUGAGCAACCCGCAUUUGAGCAGUUUUAAGUCCAUCAGGGAAGCUCAUGUUAAGAAGAAAACUGGCAACUGUGCACGUGGCACGCGCACACCUAGCCUGGAAUGGACAUGAGCAACACAUCUCGAAGAACAACCGUUAUGAAAGGUUAGUGACUGUUUUUCGUCUUUUUCAUAAUUACAGCAGUGCAAAUGCACAUAGUUGGGUGUAAGGAAACAGGAUGGUCUUGAGAAGAGACUUGUGUGGAAAACUAACAUUUUUGUGUACGAUUAAUUUACCUCUG